rnacentral:rRNA from 1 species
AUGGGCCCUGUUGUGGUAGACCCACAUGUCAUCGGUGUAACUAUUUACACUCCGAAGGACGCAGACGCAAAUGCGCUGGCCUUCAUGAUUCCAGAACCUGGAAUCAUACCAGCCGAUGGGUGGUGGUUUAUCGCUCGUUCAGCUGACGGCGUACCAUAUAACUGGAAUUACCGAUGCAAGUCGAAAAAGGAUUGGCCGGUGCUGCCGGCUGGCGUCAAGUUCGAUCCCACGGAUCAGGAGCUGAUCGAGCACCUUGAGGCCAAAAAUACUGCAGGUAUCACACUGAGUGGCCUAAGGAAGCAUUUCUUCCAGCGCAAUUCUAGGGCGUUCAAAUGGGGCACGUGGACGUGUCGCAAGAUACAGUCGGAGUGCGGCAUGCACGCGAUGUGGCACAAGACCGGCAAUACCUUGCCGGUGAUGGUCAACGGCCGGCAGACGGGCAGCAAAAAAGGUUCUGGUGCUGCACACCAACAAGAACUUCGACCAGCAGAGGACCAACUGGGUGAUGCACCAGUACCACCUCGGGGACCUGGAGCAAGAGAAGGAGCCGGAGCUGGUCCUCUGCAAGAUUUUCUACCAGACGAACAAUAG